rnacentral:rRNA from 1 species
GAUGAACGCUGGCGGCGUGCCUAAUACAUGCAAGUCGAGCGAACGGACGAGAAGCUUGCUUCUCUGAUGUUAGCGGCGGACGGGUGAGUAAAACGUGGAUAACCUACCUAUAAGACUGGGAUAACUUCGGGAAACCGGAGCUAAUACCGGAUGAUAUUUUGAACCGCAUGGUUCAAAAGUGAAAGAAGGUCUUGCUGUCACUUAUAGAUGGAUCCGCGCUGCAUUAGCUAGUUGGUAAGGUAACGGCUUACCAAGGCAACGAUGCAUAGCCGACCUGAGAGGGUGAUCGGCCACACUGGAACUGAGACACGGUCCAGACUCCUACGGGAGGCAGCAGUAGGGAAUCUUCCGCAAUGGGCGAAAGCCUGACGGAGCAACGCCGCGUGAGUGAUGAAGGUCUUCGGAUCGUAAAACUCUGUUAUUAGGGAAGAACAUAUGUGUAAGUAACUGUGCACAUCUUGACGGUACCUAAUCAGAAAGCCACGGCUAACUACGUG